rnacentral:sRNA from 4 species
UGCAUCUGAAGCCUGACGAGGAUGAGAACCUCCGGGGGCAAGAGGUUCGACCCGAGCGAAGCGAGAAAACGUUGCGUCAGCAACGGCCCGCAGGGCGAGCCACGCAGUGGCGAGUCAUCCUCUAUCACCGACCA